AGAGUUUGAUCCUGGCUCAGGAUGAACGCUAGCUACAGGCUUAACACAUGCAAGUCGAGGGGCAGCAUGAAAGGAACUUCGGUUCUUUUUGAUGGCGACCGGCGCACGGGUGCGUAACGCGUAUCGAACCUGCCUCAUACUCGGGGAUAGCCUUGCGAAAGUAAGAUUAAUACCCGGCGGUCUCGGAUGGCCGCAUGACUGUCCGAGUAAAGAUUUAUCGGUAUGAGAUGGCGAUGCGUCCCAUUAGCUUGUUGGUGAGGUAACGGCUCACCAAGGCAUCGAUGGGUAGGGGUUCUGAGAGGAAGGUCCCCCACAUUGGAACUGAGACACGGUCCAAACUCCUACGGGAGGCAGCAGUGAGGAAUAUUGGUCAAUGGACGAAAGUCUGAACCAGCCAAGUAGCGUGCAGGAUGACGGCCCUCUGGGUUGUAAACUGCUUUUAGUUGGGAAUAAAAAGAGGGACGUGUCCCUUAUUGUAUGUACCAUCAGAAAAAGGACCGGCUAAUUCCGUGCCAGCAGCCGCGGUAAUACGGAAGGUCCAGGCGUUAUCCGGAUUUAUUGGGUUUAAAGGGAGCGCAGGCGGCGGCGUAAGUCAGUUGUGAAAUCGUGCGGCUUAACCGUGCAAUUGCAGUUGAUACUGCGUCGCUUGAGUGCACACAGGGAUGUUGGAAUUCAUGGUGUAGCGGUGAAAUGCUUAGAUAUCAUGAAGAACUCCGAUCGCGAAGGCAUAUGUCCGGAGUGCAACUGACGCUGAGGCUCGAAAGUGUGGGUAUCAAACAGGAUUAGAUACCCUGGUAGUCCACACAGUAAACGAUGAAUACUCGCGGUUGGUUCGUUAGAAUCAGCCGCCAAGCGAAAGCGUUAAGUAUUCCACCUGGGGAGUACGCCGGCAACGGUGAAAC
rnacentral:rRNA from 1 species